UGGCCACUCUCUUGCUGCCUCUUCACGUGCUCAUUCCUCUGUAAACAUAUGAAUUGUGUGUGAGGGUGGGGUGCAUGAUUCAUCCAUAAUAGUAGGGGGAGGAAGGAGAUGAUGAAUAUCAAUUAUGGAUUUAAGAUUAUCUGUAAGAACAGGAAAUAUAGCUGGUCCUGCUAACUGUUUCCUUUGUAUGUGUGUGUGUCUGUUUUUGGAAGUUGGGACUUGAAGAAGUAGUGAUAGGAUGGAGUAAAAAGUGGGGUAUGGAUGCAUCUGAACCAUGUGGGGUCAGAUGCUGUCAAUGCCCCAUCCACAUCCCUUCAGUACCUCUCAAUUCCUUAAACACACAGUUCCAACUGUCAGGAACUGUGUUCCUGCCUAAGGACCCUCUCAGACUGUUCCCACUCUCCAGCGUUGGAGGCAGCCCAGAAGUGCUGGGAAAUUAAUGCCUCCUAGGAGCAUUCUGCAACCAGUGACUGACAGGAGUUGGUGAAUAAAUACUCCAGCUCCCUUGUGGCUUAGGUGCAAUAUCUCCUAAGUGUGUGUGUGUUCUUUUUUUUUUUUUUUUUUUCUUGAGACAGAGUCUCACUCUGUUGCCCAUGCUGGAGUGCAGUGGCGCGCGAUCUUGGCUUACUGCAACCUCCACCUCCCGGGUUCAAGCAAUUCUUCUGCCUCAGCCUCCUGAGUAGCUGGGAUUACAGGCACGCGCACCAUGCCCAGCUAAUUUUUUAAUUUUUAAUAGAGACAGGAUUUCACCAUGUUGGCCAAGCUUGUCUCGAACUCCUGACCUCAGGUGAUCCACCUGCCUCGGCCUCCCAAAGUGCUGGGAUUACACCGCACCCAGCCCCAGUUGUGUGUUCUGC
rnacentral:lncRNA from 1 species